CCUACGGGAGGCAGCAGUGGGGAAUAUUGCGCAAUGGGCGAAAGCCUGACGCAGCGACGCCGCGUGAGGGAUGAAGGUCUUCGGAUCGUAAACCUCUGUCAGCAGGGAAGAACGGUCACUGUGCUAAUCAGCAGUGAAUUGACGGUACCUGCAAAGGAAGCACCGGCUAACUCCGUGCCAGCAGCCGCGGUAAUACGGAGGGUGCGAGCGUUAAUCGGAAUUACUGGGCGUAAGGCGCUCGUAGGCGGUAUGUCAAGUCACGGGUGAAAUCCCCGCGCGCAACGUGGGAACUGCCUUUGAAACGGGAAAGUGGGAGUGUGUGAGAGGAUAGUGGAAUUCGAGGUGAAGGGGUGAAAUCCGUAGAUAUCGGGAGGAACAUCAGUGGCGAAGGCGACUCUCUGGCACAUAACUGAGGCGGAGGAGCGAAAGCGGGGGUAGCAAACAGGAUUAGAUACCCGAGUAGUC
rnacentral:rRNA from 1 species